CCACGUGUAAGCGCUGCCUCCUCUCGCUCAUUUACUUUUCUCGCAUCGAGAGCUCUCCCCGGAACGGCGGUGAGAAGGGACGGGCGGAGGAAAGAUGCCGCACCGCGCGCGGCCGAUGACGGGGCUGCUGGUGUUCAUGGGCGUCAACCUCGUCCUCCUCAGCACCAUCACCCCCGUCUACGACUUCGUCUGCUUCCACCCCUACUGGGACCGCAGGAGAGAACGCCGUCAAAGGGAACGUGAAGCACUGCAAGGCAAUGGUUCUCUAGAAACUGCAAAAUAAACUCUACUAGGUAUCUGCUUACAUUAUUUAUUAGCUUAUCACAUCCUGGAUUGUUCAUUUACGUGUGAUGGAGAAAGUUUGAAGUUGCGACCAGGUUUUUCAGUGUCGAUGCAUCAUUAGAUCUUGUUUCGUGAUGCUCCUGCAAUGUGUGAGUUCUCUGUAAUGACAAACUGAGGAACACCAGACGCAGUGAAAUAAUUUCUUUAAACUACACUGUUAUGUUAUCAACUUCUUGUAUUGAUCUGGUGUUACAUAAGCAAAGGAAAUCAUCUAUUUAGUUCAGACCUGUUGUAAUACAAGUAAAUCAAAUCAUCUGGCCCCACUA
rnacentral:rRNA from 1 species